GAUGAACGCUAGCGGCAGGCGUAAUACAUGCAAGUCGGACGGGAUAGGAGAGCUUGCUUUCCUUGAGAGUGGCGCACGGGUGCGUAACACGUAUGUAACCUACCUUUAUCAGGGGGAUAGCCUCUCGAAAGAGAGAUUAAGCCCGCAUAAUAUGAAGACACAGCAUUGUGAUUUCAUCAAAUAUUUAUAGGAUAGAGAUGGGCAUGCGGAACAUUAGCUAGUUGGUAAGGUAAUGGCUUACCAAGGCUACGAUGUUUAGGGGAUCUGAGAGGAUGACCCCCCACACUGGUACUGAGACACGGACCAGACUCCUACGGGAGGCAGCAGUAAGGAAUAUUGGUCAAUGGGCGCAAGCCUGAACCAGCCAUGCCGCGUGCAAGAAGACGGCCCUACGGGUUGUAAACUGCUUUUGCAGGGGAAUAAAUCUCCCGACGUGUCGGGGGUUGAAUGUACUCUGAGAAUAAGGAUCGGCUAACUCCGUGCCAGCAGCCGCGGUAAUACGGAGGAUCCAAGCGUUAUCCGGAUUUAUUGGGUUUAAAGGGUGCGUAGGCGGCCUGUUAAGUCAGGGGUGAAAGACGGUAGCUCAACUAUCGCAGUGCCCUUGAUACUGAUG
rnacentral:rRNA from 1 species